rnacentral:lncRNA from 1 species
AACUGACUGUGUAGCCUGCCUUUCCUCCUGUGGGAAGCUCUCUUGAGAGCACUUCAGGAUGCAAGACAUCGGGCAACCAAGCAGCUGUGCUUCACAGUUGGACCACACCAAGCUUCUGCCUAUGCAGCCAUCAGGGGAUGGAUUGUUUUUGUCAUCUCAAUAACAGCAGCACAAGGGGAAAGAGAUGGAAGAUAGAAGGCGAGGAAUAUUGCUUCAUACCUUACCUGGAAUGCUAUCAUUAAGAAAGCCUUUACUCCAGCCAGCCAUCACCCUCCCCACACUCCUUCAAAAUGCAAUUUCCAUCUCGCCCAAUCCAGAGCCCAUCAGCAGAGGACUGGUUAAAUAAGCAAUGCGCGGUGCAUAGCUCAGGACAUCAGUGGCCAUUAAAACGAAUGCGGGAUAGAUUUUUAAAAAAAUAACAAUGUCCAUGAUAUGUUGCUAGGUGAUAUAAGAAAAUUACUGAGCUGUGCUUCUGGAAAACGAAUAAAUAAAUAAAGUAAAUAAGUUGGUGCAUGCAUCCAGAAAAUAUCUGUAAAGGCAUACACUGAAAGUGGCUACCUCAUCUGGCAUAUAGAUGGAUGGAUGGAUGGAUGGAUGGAUGGAUGGAUCUGGGUGAAUAGGAAGAGACCACUCACAUUCCAUGUGAAACAUUUCCUUUUUUGUUUGUUUUACAGUAAUUGAUGUUAUAAUCAGGAAAAGCAUUACAGGGAGGGGACAGCAAAUUUCCCGUGAAAAGGAGAUGGCUGGGUUGCUGACACAGGCUACAUCAUUGCAGAACCCUGAGAGCAGGGAAGAUGCAGACAGU